rnacentral:rRNA from 1 species
GUGCCAGCCGCCGCGGUAAUACGGAGGGUGCGAGCGUUGUUCGGAAUUAUUGGGCGUAAAGCGCGCGCAGGCGGUUUUACAAGUCUAUGGGUGAAAUGCCGGGGCUCAACUCCGUGCGUGCCCAGGAUACUGUGAGACUGGAGACAUGUAGAGGCAAGCGGAAUUUCGGGUGUAGCGGUGGAAUGCGUAGAUAUCCGAAAGAACACCGGAGGCGAAGGCGGCUUGCUGGGCAUGGUCUGACGCUGAGGCGCGAAAGCGUGGGGAGCGAACAGGAUUAGAUACCCCCGUAGUCC